GGGUCAGUAGGUUGGUCGUGCCACCGGUACGUACUGAUCUCACUGAUUCCUCCUUCCUGAAGAACCGUUAUGCCAUUAAUUUGGUGUUGCGGGGAAACAGGACUGUUACUUUGAAAAAAUUAGAGUGUUUAAAGCAAGCUAACGCUUGAAUACAUUAGCAUGGAAUAAUGAAAUAGGACGAUCGAUCCUAUUUUGUUGGUUUCUAGGAUUGACGUA
rnacentral:rRNA from 1 species